CACACAUGCAGUGAGGGAGCAACAGCAGAAGAGUAAUUUAAUUCAAGCCAAACUAUUUCUUUUCGUUUUGUAUUUUAAAAAGUCCUGAAUUUUAAUGUGUGGUCUUUAAAAUAUUUUUCUGCUGGAAUGGAACUUCUCUCUGUAAAAGUGAAAAAAGGAAGGCUGGAUAAAACAACUGACACAUCGAAAACUUACGUUGUUUUAAAAGUCC